rnacentral:lncRNA from 1 species
UUAGGUUUGCUGGCUGACACCAGUCAGAAUGGUAGGACUCCAAGUGAUGUGAUGGUCCUAAAAUUGAAUGGAUGAAAUCACCUAGGAAAUGGUCUCAGUAUGUCUUGGGGGUCCAGAGGAAUAAGUUGCAGGUUGGAUGACAAGGAAAUGACCAUGAUGAAUGCUUGAUGAAAUAUGAAGGAUGGUUUAGAAUAUGACUGCUACGGAAAGUGAUAGAAGAUUAUGAUCAGUAUUAUCUUGUAAAGCAAGGAAACCUCCAGGAGAAAAACUUGUAAAGAAAUUGGUGAAACUCAGCUAAAACAAAUCAUCCCAACAUUAACAUAUGAAUAUAAAUUUAUUGUUAACCAUCAAUUAAACAUCUACUAAGUUCUAGGUACUAUCCCUAUAAGGAUGAACCUAGAAGGACAACAAAAAGCUUUAAAGGUGCUUAAAUGGACCUUCAAGGUAUAUUGAAGAAGGAAAAAAUUCUAAAUGGUUGAAAAAGAACAGAGCUACUAUUUUAUCAAAAGAGAUUUAAAAAUAUCAACAGUCCAAAACAUAAGUCUGUUUUAUCUCUAUUCAGUCCUCAUGAGAAUGAAGCAAGAAGAUUGCCCUGUUCAAAAGUCAUCAGUAGCAUCCUUUUACCAGUCAAAGUUUACUGAAUGCAUCCUUCUUAGAACUCCAGUAAUAGUGGAUGAAAUGGAUGACAUGAACCUUACCCUGUUCUCAUAUAAUUGUGAUGUCCUUGUUCAGUUCUUCUUACUUAAGGAUAUGUCAUAUCUAUCUCAAGUCUCCUCUGCCCAGUUUCCUCCAGUUGUGGCAGCAAGGAAUCCCUCCAGGCUGGGGCCCUCACUCCAAGAUUCCAGGGACCACCAGACACUUAGCACAGUAGAUAAAUUACAAAGGGAUUGCUAAUAACCUGAUGAUCAUUGCUACUAAGGUGGCAGUUGCAUUGGCAUGAGCUUGUCAUUUAUGCCUUUUGGGAAGCAUUCAAAUUUUGCAACACUUACUUCAGCUUCACAGAACUCUUAAUCAUGGUUACAACUCCCCAAAACCAUGAAUCCAGCUCUAACUUUGACAAUCUGGCCAUCAUUUGCCAGCUUUGUUUCACUCAUAUGUGUUAUGUGGAUGAGAUACUACUGAGUUCACAACAAGAGUGGUUCAUCAUUCAGUUCUACUGUAUUUCAUGUUGCUCAUAAGCAUGUGCAUAUUCCAUGUAACAAUGACAAGCAAA